UACGUAGGGGGCAAGCGUUGUCCGGAUUUAUUGGGCGUAAAGAGCGUGUAGGCGGCUGGGUAGGUCCGCUGUGAAAACUCGAGGCUCAACCUCGAGACGUCGGCGGAAACCAUCUGGCUAGAGUCCGGAAGAGGAGAGUGGAAUUCCUGGUGUAGCGGUGAAAUGCGCAGAUAUCAGGAAGAACACCCGUGGCGAAGGCGGCUCUCUGGGACGGUACUGACGCUGAGACGCGAAAGCGUGGGGAGCGAACAGG
rnacentral:rRNA from 1 species